CUAUUCUCUUCCAAAAGUCUCACUCUCUCUACUCCUUUUACUCCGAUCCGUGGAAAGUGGCUCCUGGUACAUCCAUGAAUUUUACUUUGUCGGAACAGACUCUUCCUUCAGGUUUCAAAGAUUCGUCUUCAGAUGCUGAAAAUGAGGAAUUUUGGAAUCUUGCUAAUUCAUCAAUUUGAUGAAGAAUUGAUGAAUUUGCAGAUUAUUGCUCUACAAGAGAAUGGAAGGAGAAGGCGUACUGAUUUCGACCUUGUGGUCACCAAUGCCCAGACCAAUGAAGGUUGGUUCGAUUUAGUUUUAGUUAUUCCCUUCUUAACUUAUUUUCUAAUUGAAAUAUGGGUCCUGGGAGUGUGAGUUGAUUGGUAAUUUAUGAUUUUGGGGUUUUCAAAACUAGUUUUGGGAUUGUCUUAAAUUUUGAGUGAUAUUCAGUAGUUAUAUACUGAUCUAGAUUUCAAGAAGGAUGUUAUAUUGCUACAAUGCAGUUCACAAUUAGUUCACUAGUUGCCACCAUGUGUCUUGAAUUUAGAGUGACUUCAUAUGGAUGUCUUCACAAUUUUUAUUGAAUGAACAAAGUUUUGUUGGCUGGUACAGAAUGUACAAAAUUUGGCUAUCAAAACUUUAGUGGUGAGUUGGAUCAUUCUUAGAGGGGACAGGUUCUGUGAGAUUGAAAUCUGGGUUAUGCGAAAUGGUUAAUCUGACUUUAACUUCCUAGGAAACGCAUUUUGGUUGCUCAAAUGCAGCAGAUAUAUGCCUCCCGAAUAUGUGAUGCAUGGACAUUUUUCUGUUCAAUCUGAUGUCUAUAGUUUUGGCGUGUUGAAUUUGGAGAUAAUAAGUGGACAGAAAAAUAGUUGCUUUGCUCAUUGAGAGAAUGUGGAGACUCUUCCAAGCUAUGUAAAGUUUUCUUUCCUCAUGGAGAGAAUGUGGACUCUUCCGAGCUAUGUAAAGUUUUCUUUCCUCAUGGAGAGAAUGUGGACUCUUCCGAGCUAUGUAAAGUUUUCUUUCCUCAUGGAGAGAAUGUGGAGACUCUUCCAAGUUAUGCAUGGAAAAGCUGGAAGGAAGGGAAACCUUCAAAUGUGACAGAUCCCACAUUGAAGAAUGGUUCAAGGACUGAAAUAAUGAGAUGCGUACACAUUGGACUGUUAUGUGUGCAAGAAAAUCUAGCUGAUAAACCAACCAUGGCUUCAGUUAUCCUCAUGUUGAAUAGCUACUCUCUCAGUCUCCCAGCACCCUUAAAACCAGCAUUUUUAAUCUAUAGUAGCGUCGGAUCUAGGAGAAACUUUGACUCUCUCGAAGUAACCGAAAAUGAUGAUGCUUCAUUAAUCACUGAAGUAAAUCCUCGCUAGAGCUUGAAGAUUGAUCGAUAUAACAACACUU